UACCUUCCUGGCAGGCAUAUUGGG
rnacentral:piRNA from 1 species